rnacentral:lncRNA from 1 species
CUGCCCCCUAGCCCUAACAGGUUAAAGAUGUAGUGUAAGUAUAACUCUGACUGGUGUGUGAAGUUUGUAACUCUCCUCAUUUGGUAUUGCAGAAAUUAGCAACCACAAACCUCAAAUACAGUACAAGUUAUAAAUGUCCUGCACUACAGGACCGUUCUCCUGCAACAGGGUGAUCAAAUUCAGAUCCUACACCUGUAGCACUUUCUGCUCCCCUCUCUCGCUGCCCACAGCACACUGACCCACUUCUCCUAAUUGCAAUUGUCUUGUUGAAUUUAAUUUAGUACAGAGAGAGAAAGUGCGCUAAAGGGGCAAUAUGUGAUUGGUGCAUCAAUUAUUUGACUGUUUAAAUAAUGACAUAUACCCAUUGAUUCUUAGGGAAUAUAACUUACAAAUGCCUCAUGAGCUUAGCUCAACUGUCGUACCUAAUCAGAAAGGAAAAUCUGCUGAUGAUCUCUUUCACAUCCAGUGUUACAUCCUCCCUUAACUUUUCCCUUCUGGGAAGGCUUUGAGAUGGAGGGAUGUAUAGUAUGAAGGUAUAUAUAAAAUUCCCGUCAGUAACACAGGAGGAAAGGAGGGAACUGUAAAAUAAUGGAAGAGAAGAGACAGGAAGACAAGAGAAAGGAAGAGCAGAGACAGGAAGAGAAGGGAAGAGAAGAUACAAGACCAGAAGAGAAGAGACAGGAAGAUAAGAGAACAGACAGGAAGAGAAGAGACAGGAAGAGAAGAGAAGAGAAGAGAAGAGAAGAGAAGAGAAGAGAAGAGAAGAGAAGAGAAGAGAAGAGAAGAGAAAAUAAGAGAAGAGAAGAGAGGAAGUGAAGAGACAUGAAGAGAAGGGAAUAGAAGAGAAGAGACAUGAAGAGAAGGGAAGAGAAGAGACAGGAAGAGAAGAUACGAGAGGAGAAGAGAAGAGAGGAAGAAAUUAGACAGGAAGAGAAGAAGGGAAGAGAAGAGACAGGAAGAGAAGAUAAGAGAGGAGAGGAGAGGAGAAGAGACAGGAAGAGAAGAGAAGAGACAGGAAGAGAAGAGACAGGAAGAGAACAGAAGGUACAGGAAGAGAAGAGAAGAGACAGGAAGAGAAGAGACCAGAAGAGAAGAGAAGAGAUAGGAAGGGAAGAGACAGGAAGAGGAGAGAAGAGAAGAGAUAGGUAGAGAAGAGAGGCGAAGACACAGGAAGAGAAGAGAAGAGAGGAGAAGAGACAGGAAGAUAAGAGAAGAGACAGUAAGAGAAGAGACAGGAAGAGAAGAGAAGAGACCAGGAAGAGAAGAGACAGGAAGAGGAGAGACAGGAAGAGAAGAUACAGGAAGAGAAGAGAAGGGAAGAGAAGAGAAGAGAAGAAACAGGAAGAGAAGAGAAGAAACAGGAAGAGAAGAGAAGAAACAGGAAGAAAAGGGAAGAUACAGGAAGAGAAGAGAAGAGAGGAGAAGGGAAGACAAGAUAAGAUAAGAUACAGGAAGAGAAGGGAAGAGAAUAGAAGAGGAGAGAAGAAACAGGAAGCGAAGAGAAGAAACAGGAAGCGAAGAGAAGAAACAGGAAGAAAAGGGAAGAUACAGGAAGAGAAGAGAAGAGAGGAGAAGAGACAGGAAGAUAAGAGAAGAGACAGUAAGAGAAGAGACAGGAAGAGAAGAGAAGAGACCAGGAAGAGAAGAGACAGGAAGAGGAGAGACAGGAAGAGAAGAUACAGGAAGAGAAGAGAAGGGAAGAGAAGAGAAGAGAAGAAACAGGAAGAGAAGAGAAGAAACAGGAAGCGAAGAGAAGAAACAGGAAGAAAAGGGAAGAUACAGGAAGAGAAGAGAAGAGAGGAGAAGGGAAGACAAGAUAAGAUAAGAUACAGGAAGAGAAGGGAAGAGAAUAGAAGGUACAGGAAGAGAAGAGAAGGGAAGAGAAUAGAAGGUA